GACGAACGCUGGCGGCGUGCUUAACACAUGCAAGUCGAACGAUGAAAGCUGGAGCUUGCUCCGGCUGGAUUAGUGGCGAACGGGUGAGUAACACGUGAGCAAUCUGCCCUUCACUCUGGGAUAACCUCGAGAAAUCGAUGCUAAUACCGGAUACGACGCGCUGGGGCAUCCCAUGCGCGUGGAAAGAAUUUUGGUGAAGGAUGAGCUCGCGGCCUAUCAGCUAGUUGGUGAGGUAAUGGCUCACCAAGGCGACGACGGGUAGCCGGCCUGAGAGGGUGACCGGCCACACUGGGACUGAGACACGGCCCAGACUCCUACGGGAGGCAGCAGUGGGGAAUAUUGCACAAUGGGCGAAAGCCUGAUGCAGCAACGCCGCGUGGGGGAUGAAGGCCUUCGGGUUGUAAACCUCUUUUAGCAGGGAAGAAGCGAAAGUGACGGUACCUGCAGAAAAAGCACCGGCUAACUACGUGCCAGCAGCCGCCGUAA
rnacentral:rRNA from 1 species